rnacentral:lncRNA from 1 species
UAUAUAACUAGAACCCCCCUGGGCUGUAUUUUUGGUCAAAGGAGUCUCCAAGGCGGCUUACAAAAGCUUCCUUUUUCACUUGACCACCCUUGCUCAUUGGUUACUUGUGAAGGGAAUUGGUCAGUUUCCACCUCAGCACUUUGCCUUAUCAACAUGCGGUCGCCAUCUAGUGGCCAAAGGUUGUCUCCACCAGCUACCCAGAUGGAAGGCAAAUAAAUCCUUUCGGCCACCCUGCUGUCCAUCGUGAACUUUGGGAAUGAAAUAUAAUGGCCUGAACGAACUGCCUUUGUGUUCAGAGAUCAGUGCAACACUAGGGUCAGAAGACUCCAGAAGCAGCCACUUAGUAGACUCUCACGCAGAACUGAGAAAUGCACUAGCUGUCCUGUGGGCAGAAGAGACAGGAGUGGACCAGGAGAGGUCCAGGUGCCCGGGAAGGGUUUACUGUAACUGCAAUACUGGCAGCCCAGCUGCUGACCUUGUUAAGUAAACCUUUGCUGGGUGGUCCGAAUUCUGCCCUCAAGGCAAGAUAAGAAGUUGGGUGUAAGGAUUUUGUGGGGGGCCUGGCCAUGAUCUUUGAUAUGAUCCCCGAAUAGCCAAAUAGUUUUUUUUGUUCAAUUUUUUGUUUCUGUAUUUUGUAUUUUUAAAAUCUUGUCAAAUGUUUUUGUGUUAGGAAUAAAAAGUCAUAAACUAUUCCCAACUUUGUUUCUUGAGGGAUGUUCUGAUUCCAAUGGAAACAGGUGGGAAAUCUCAAGGGGAGCGUGGACAAGGUGGUAUGUGCAGCAGGGGAAUAGACUGCUUGGAUUUCCAAAUGGUUUCUGGGGAAGAUGACCAUCCAGAAGUCCAGCUUAGUGCAGUCUGCUCUGGAAUUCACACCCACCCCCUCGCCUCCUUGUGCCAUGUUGUUAGCAUUGGCUUGGAGCAUCUGCUUCUUCCAGAGGCAGCUGCUAAUGUUGAAACCAACACGAGCCCUCUCCCCAACCCCAGGUUUCUAAAGAAGGUGUCUGUAGCCAGCCUUAAUCAACUGGGCAAGGUGGUCCCUAUGGUCCUUUCCAGCAUUUCCAAAUCUUGGACUCAAAUUAUUUUCUCUUGGUGUGACCACACAGCCUAGAGAAUUCUGAGCAAUAGGAGCCAGGGCUUUCCCUGACUCUGCGACAGGGUCAAACCAAGGAAUGGCUAAACCUGUGAGGUUUUGUCAUCCCCGGGGGUACUACUGUAGGGGGCAUUAUUUAUUAGGAAGCUUAACAAGGUAACUACGGCCUGAGUGCGUGAGUGUAAGGCUGUGUUUGUGGUGGGGGUGUGUGUGUGUGUAUCUGUGCACACAUACACACGUCUGUGCCUGUGUGUGUGUGUUUGUGUGUGUGUGUGUGUGUGGAAUUACAUUGAUGCAUUUAUUGAGAAAGGUGCAAGAAUUUCACCUACACAGAGGGACACAUCUGCUUUGUUAUUUAUAAUAGAAAGCUAAAUUUUAAUUUUUUAAAGGACACUGCUAAUGAUUGAGAAUCAAGUUUUUAGUUUUGCUAUUUUUUUUAAUUGGUAGAGGAUUUUUAUAUAUUUUUUCCAUUUUGUUGGGUUGUGUCCUUAUUUAUAUAAAUACUUUAUCCGUAAGAGGCAAGGAGGAAACCUUCUUUGCUUUUACAUAUUGUGGUUGUCAUCGUCCCUAUUUUAUUUCUGGUGUGAUUUCUCUGUCUUACCUUCUAAAUGAGAAAAUGUUUUCUUGUAUUUGUACAUUGUCAGAUUCUAUAGUUUCCUAGAUAAUUUAACCAAAUUGCUCUAUGUAUUAUUAUUCUGUGAGUAUAAAGUUCUAUUUUAAUGUCUGUAAAUACUUCAGAACUGGCUUCUUUUCUCAAACUCCCACUGUGGGGUUAUUGUUUACAUCACAGAAACUGUAGAAUCUCUAUGCUCAUGUACUGUAAAUAGUGAAGUGAUCUGCUUAUAAAUAAACUUAACAAAUACACUAUGGAGAUUAAAAACAAAAUACCACCCAC